GUUUCUGUAGUAUGGUGGUUAUCACGUUAGUCUCACACGUGAAAGGUCCCUGGUUCGAAACCAGGUGGAAACA
rnacentral:tRNA from 1 species